UCUUCAUCCUGUACGCAUGAGAGAGAGAGGGAAAGGAAGAGAAAAGGAAAAAAAAGAGAAGAGGAAGAAGAAAGUAGUGUAUUUGGUGCCGUUUGAUGAGCCGAUCGAAACGCCGCGCUCCUGAUUUUUAGCGUUUCGACAUUUGGGUUUUUAUUAUAAUAUUAUUAUAAUUUCAAACCAGAUUUUUGGUGGAUUCUUGACAGUGAAUGUUAGGAAGGUAUUUUGGAUGGAUUUAUGUUGAAAUUGAAGCUUAGAAAUUGAUUUCUAUGUGAUUUAGGUGUCGAUUUUGCGAGCGUUUCGUCGAGGGAAACCAGCUGGUGAAGCUAGCAAUCGGAGGUUCUAACUCGUGCGGGGUGGUCAAGGAUCGUGACAUGGUCAGUGCUCCAUAGAUAGUGGACAUCCAUUGAGUAUAGUGGUACCUUGUAUAUAUUGAGGAAUGUAUGAUUGUAAUAAUUAUGCAAGCUUUGUAUUUGAUUUAAAGUAAUCAAGAUACAAUGUAUGAAUGGUUUAGUUAGUUUUCUUUCACUUGUGCUUGUGUUGCUUACCCUUGUGUAAGCCAUGUA